rnacentral:lncRNA from 1 species
GAUGGUGAGGGCAAAGCGGAGAAGAGAUGAUUCAAUGGGCUCUACAAGGCAGUGUUCUGGUUGGAAGGCUCAGCAAGCUUACUCCUACUGCCUCUGCUGUUUCGGCUGGAAAGAGACCAGACCAACCAUGAGGGGUGCAUGGCACAGGGAUGGCGGGAGCUGGUUCUCUCAUCGUGAGGAAGAUGUGGCGCUGAGACACUUAAGGUGAGGUUGGAAAGGAACAUGAAGAAUUUAGUGGAUGGGAGAGGUGACAGAGCCAAACAUGAGUGGUGUGGACAGCUGACAACAGAGUCUGGCGAAGGACUGUCCUCUCAUAACUGGGCAGAGAAUGCAGAGGGCCUUUUGUACAAGAAGGUUCCAUCCACUCCCUUUGGCUCUUCAUGGUCUUUCCUGUGGACAUUCCAGAAGAGUGCAGGAAGGUGACCUUGGGGGAAUCUGUGGUUCAUGUUGGAACACUGGACAUACCACAUAAUUGGAAAGAUGCCUUCUGGAAGCAUCACAAGGUGCAGCUCAACUUUUCGAAUGCUGGUAACAAGAACAUUUCCAUUUCCAAUGACUGCUUGUGUCCUGAAACUUUCCACCCAAAUAGCAGCAGACAUUCUAGCUGUGACAGUCAUGGGCACGAUGCCAGGGUCUCUGUGACAACCAUGGUCAUCCAAGUAGUGACCUGUGGGAGGUGAGAAGGUAAUUGGUUUCAAGACGACUAAGUAGCCAGUUUUGGUUCAAACUUUUGGAACCUGCCCCUGAGUUUUAGCUAUAUUUAAGCAAAGUAUAAUUUGGUAGAAACCUUUCCUUGUGAUAGUGAACUCAAUCUCGUGUGCACAAUAAAGCUUAAGAUGUG